UGGGGAAUAUUGGACAAUGGGCGCAAGCCUGAUCCAGCCAUGCCGCGUGAGUGAUGAAGGCCCUAGGGUUGUAAAGCUCUUUCACCGGUGAAGAUAAUGACGGUAACCGUAGAAGAAGCCCCGGCUAACUUCGUGCCAGCAGCCGCGGUAAUACGAAGGGGGCUAGCGUUGUUCGGAUUUACUGGGCGUAAAGCGCACGUAGGCGGACUAUUAAGUCAGGGGUGAAAUCUCGGGGCUCAACCCCGGAACUGCCUUUGAUACUGGUAGUCUUGAGUUCGGCAGAGGUGGGUGGAAUUCCGAGUGUAGAGGUGAAAUCCGUAGAUAUUCGGGGGAACACCAGUGGCGAAGGCAGCUCACUGGCUCGAUACUGACGCUGAGGUGCGAAAGCGUGGGGAGCAAACAGG
rnacentral:rRNA from 1 species